ensembl:lncRNA
CUAGUAACAGCCGUCUCCCAAGCUCACUUGGCCUGAGACGGUCAACAGCGAACAUGCUGAGCUGCUUCUCCACUUCGAGAGGCCGUAGCCUCAGGACCCCAGGUAGAGAAAGUAUCUGUGAAAGACUAAGAAGAGGCUGGCUCCAUCCAGACACCGCAUGACUGUCCCAGAAACCCCAGGGACGGUCUCCCUGGGAGUGACCACCAGUGACCUACCAAAAUCAAGCUUCUCAGAGCACAUGGAGUAAUUUUUAAUACCCUCCAGCACUCUUGAUAUGUGAUAUCUUCAGUUGAUGCGAGAUUUGUUUGGAGCUUCCCUAGAGAAAUAUGAGGAAACUAUGAUAUUUUAAUAUGUGCAUGGAAUAAAAUUUGAUUCCUAUUUUCAUGUAUGUCUGCAAAAUAUCAUCAGAAUGAGGAAAUAUCAGGCUUAUUUUUGAGGCAUUGGGGUACUGAUUUGAUUUGACUGGAACUUGGAAUCACUUGGAAAUUGUGGGUGAGAAGAAGAAAGACCAAUGAAGAAGGAACCAUCCAGGCCAGGAUAGAGGUCAAAGAGGAGAAAAGUGACAGAAAGAAAGUCACCAAUUUUCCCUUGACUUUGGACAGCUCUGCUUCCCUCUGAUGAAGCCCAGUUGUGCAAUUUUCUUUCCCUCAAUUAAAGGGAAAAAAUACAGAGUACUGAAAGGCCAA